GAAAAUAAUUUAAAAAAUAAAAAAGAAAAAGAGACAGCAUAUUGCAAUAAUGGAGCAAAAGAUAAAGAAACAGGGAGGAUAAACUUAUUAUUACUUUCAUAAUCCGAUGCAGAUCCUCGCUCGUUCAUCCGUAAUCAAGAAAACCAUCUGUGACAAAAAUAAAUAAAUAAAUAAAACCACUUUCGUUCGUUAUUUAUUAUUAUUUAAUUAAUUAAAUUCGGUAAUAGAAAAAUUAGCACAUAGGAUUUGAUUUGAUUGCAAGAAUUAUUCCCAUUUCUCUCGAAAUCCAACUACCUGUGUAUCUGGUUACACGUUUCUCUGCUCUGUUCGCUUCAUUUUGCUCAGCUUACCCUGACUUUACCUUCUCUCUUUCUGUCAUCUCCUGAGACAUAGAAAUGAUGCUUAGAGCUCAAUUCCAAGUUCGUGCACUCGACAGUUUCAGGGUUUUAAGGGAUGAAAUGAAUGCGAGUUGUGGUGGUGGAGGUUUGAUCCCGAAUUCAGGUGGGUGCUUGUCGAUUCAAUUAGGGAUCAAAAGAAGCUUAAGGUUACAGUGUCGCGGUGGUCGUAAGUCAAUCCUCAUCUCUUGUAAGUCUACUCGUGGAAAUUCCUCCGAUGGUGGUGGCCAAUCUACCAAUGCCCAUGAUGACCACGAUCACGACUUUCUCCAAGCUUCUCUUCUCAUUUCAGAAACUCUUUUACACUAUCGUAUGUGGAGGCAAGGAUUUCGAGAAGACAUGAGAUGGAGAUUACCUGGUAGAUCGAACCCAUUUGCUGUACUGUCAAAGGAGACAAGACCUGAUAUGAGUUUUAUCGGACACGAGUUUCUUCGUCGCUUCCAAAGUCCUACUAUUUUUCUUAAAGUUUCUUGUGAUGGAGACUUCUUGCUACCAAUUAUUGUUGGGGAAUUUGCUAUUGAGAAACUUAUAGAUAACUUUCAGGAAGCCGGUGGUAAUGGGGAUUGUCCAGACCAGUUUCAGCUUGUGAGAAAUCUGGUGGAAAAACUUGGUUAUGAAGUAAAAAUGGUGAGAAUUACGGAGAGAGUGGUUAAUACUUAUUUUGCAAGAGUAUAUAUUAGUAAGCCUGGGGAAAAUGAAAUUUUAAGCGUAGAUGUGUGUCCCUCCGAUGCCAUUAAUGUGGCAAACAAAUGCAAGGCCCCAAUACAUGUAAGGAAACAAAUUGUCUUCACAGACGCAAUCAGAAUUAGUUAUGGGAUGGGAAGAGUACAUGAUAGGAAGACAACUUAUGAUGUAUCCCUUGACAGUCCUGCUGAUGGUCCAGAUUCACUAUCUGAGGAACUUGAUAUUGUGAAGAAUAUGAAUUUAGCUGUUAAAGAGGAAAGAUAUGGUGAUGCAGAGUCAAUGCUCUUGAUUGUUAGAAUAGUUUUAAAUUGACUGCUGAUUCUUGUAGCCAUGUGGAGAGACAAACUGAUGGAGCUUCGCCAGUCAAGACACGAACAGACUUGAUCUAUCUGGAGUUACCACUUCCUGGCGUGUGGUUUCCGGCCGAGUUUCAUGGCUGUCCUCUUUGUGCUCAUUCUAGACAUAGUUUCCAAUAAAAUGUUUGGCAUAGCAUUUUAUAUAUCGUGCAAAUGAAAAGGACAGUCUGAGGAACUCAUGAAUGGUUAAAGAAACUCAAAAUAGUGGUACGUGAAGCUCAAAACUUGCUUUGAGAACUGAGAUACCUGAUUAUUUAAAUUUACAUUUGGUGGUCCCUUGAAUUGUUCAAAAUCACAAAGAUGAUCAAUUCUCUCAUGGAUGUGGAUUUUGUUGUUUCAAUUAGAAUGUAAAUGAUGCACGUCAAGAUAUAGAAAUGAUGCUUAUCAAGAAAGAAUGUAUUAAGUUCCUUGUUAAUUCUGGUGACACUGAAGCCAGAAACUUCUUUGUUUAGAAGUCUUUCCACGAUGAAGGAUGUGAAUGUGAAUCCCAGCUAGUACACUAUGACGAGUUUCCAGCUCUCCAUUAGGUUUUCUUUAUUUUCCUACUUUGUCAGGACAAAUAAAAGUGAUGAGAGCUACCAUUGUCAUUCUGAUGUUUGCUGGCAGCUGACAUUCUCCAUCAAAAGAGUCAUGAAAAAGGGAACAGAAGCCUCUGUAGUUUGACAAAAAAAUGUCAAGAAAGUUACUGCGCCUUGAAUUUGUCAUCAAGAUUUGAUACUGAUUAACCUGCAAUUUGUUAUGCAAAGAUUUUUGGAUGUGUUUUAGCAUGCUUGAAAUGUGAAUAUACUUGUGUAUAUAGAGAACAUUUUCUUGUUUGAAAGCAUUAUAUUAUCUAUAUUCAUCUUAGCUCA